AGUAACGGGGGCAGCAGUGGGGAAUAUUGGACAAUGGGCGCAAGCCUGAUCCAGCCAUGCCGCGUGAGUGAUGAAGGCCUUAGGGUUGUAAAGCUCUUUUACCCGGGAAGAUAAUGACGGUACCGGGAGAAUAAGCCCCGGCUAACUUCGUGCCAGCAGCCGCGGUAAU
rnacentral:rRNA from 1 species